GUAGGUGGCAAGCGUUGUCCGGAAUUAUUGGGCGUAAAGCGCGCGCAGGCGGUUCUUUAAGUCUGAUGUGAAAGCCCACGGGCUCAACCGUGGAGGGUCAUUGGAAACUGGAGGACUUGAGUACAGAAGAGGAAAGCGGAAUUCCACGUGUAGCGGUGAAAUGCGUAGAGAUGUGGAGGAACACCAGUGGCGAAGGCGGCUUUCUGGUCUGUAACUGACGCUGAGGCGCGAAAGCGUGGGGAGCAAACAGGAUUAGAUACCCUGGUAGUCCACGCCGUAAACGAUGAGUGCUAAGUGUUAGGGGGUUUCCGCCCCUUAGUGCUGCAGCUAACGCAUUAAGCACUCCGCCUGGGGAGUACGGCCGCAAGGCUG
rnacentral:rRNA from 1 species